UCUUUUUUUCUCCUAACCAACACUGUAGGAGUGUGUGGCUCCCUCACCUUAUUAGAUUGUAUGACACCCCUCUUGGAUUUGAAUUCCUCGAUAGGUUUAGAGAUAGCCUCUACUUUUUUAAAGAGUUUAUCCUAGAUGUCCUUGCACUCUUCUCAUUCGCAAUGAGGACACGAGGGUAAAGAAGGGUGAGAGGGACCGAUGUAAGGGUGAGAUGGACCUAUGUACGGU
rnacentral:lncRNA from 1 species